rnacentral:rRNA from 1 species
GACGAACGCUGGCGGCGUGCUUAACACAUGCAAGUCGAACGGAAAGGCCCUGCUUUUGUGGGGUGCUCGAGUGGCGAACGGGUGAGUAACACGUGAGUAACAUGCCCUUGACUUUGGGAUAACUUCAGGAAACUGGGGCUAAUACCGGAUAGAAGCUCCUGAUCCACGUGGGUGGUUGGAAAAUUUCGGCGGUUGGGGAUGGACUCGCGGGUUAUCAGCUUGUUGGGGGGGUAGUGGAUUACCAAGGCUUUGACGGGUAGCCGGCCUGAGAGGGUGACCGGCCACAUUGGGCCUGCGAUACGGCGCAGACUCGUACGGGAGGCAGCAGUGGGGAAUAUUGCACAAUGGGCGGAAGCCUGAUGCAGCAACGCCGCGUGCGGGAUGACGGCCUUCGGGUGGUAAACCGCUUUCGCCUGUGACGAAGCGUGAGUGACGGUAAUGGGUAAAGAAGCACCGGCUAACUACGUG